UACGAAGGGUGCAAGCGUUACUCGGAAUUACUGGGCGUAAAGCGCGCGUAGGUGGUUUGUUAAGUCUGAUGUGAAAGCCCUGGGCUCAACCUGGGAAUUGCAUUGGAUACUGGCAGGCUAGAGUGCGGUAGAGGAUGGCGGAAUUCCCGGUGUAGCAGUGAAAUGCGUAGAGAUCGGGAGGAACAUCUGUGGCGAAGGCGGCCAUCUGGACCAGCACUGACACUGAGGCACGAAAGCGUGGGGAGCAAACAGG
rnacentral:rRNA from 1 species